CGUCUCUAAGCUCCCCACCAAUAACCCAGACACCCCUUCCAUUGUUGAUCGAAUGCUCAGGCUUUUUAGCCACUCACUCCAUCGUAACAUGCAACCAAAUCACCGACCAAGAUGCCCUCACCCAAAGAUCAUACGGCCUUGCAUCAGUCGGCAAAUAUUUCCUUCAAAAUGAAGAUGGAGUCCCCUUUGCUGCUUUGCUUCGUCUCCAUCUCGAAAAAUACGUAAUCGAAUGCUGGAAAUUCUUGAAAGAUGUGUGACACUGAAAGGUAGGUUUUCAUCUAAAGAAUGCAUUUGAGAAGCACUUAUUUGAGCUUGGGUUGUGGAAAUUUAUAAAAGUGUUGAUUUCAACGACUCGGAUUAAUCAAUCGUCAUCAUCUUCACAGCUGACCAUCUUCGAGUGUUUUUCUAGAUUAAUAAAAUGCUUUAUUCA